rnacentral:misc_RNA from 1 species
GAUGAAGAACGUAGCGAAAUGCGAUAAGUAAUGUGAAUUGCAGAAUUCAGUGAAUCAUCGAAUCUUUGAACGCACAUUGCGCCCCUUGGUAUUCCGAGGGGCAUGCCUGUUCGAGCGUCAUUAUAACCCCUCAAGCUCAGCUUGGUGUUGGGGCCUGCUGCACUGGCAGCCCUUAAAAUCAGUGGCGGCGCCAUCUGGCUCUAAGCGUAGUAAUUCUUCUCGCUAUGGAGUCCUGGUGGAUGCUUGCCAUCAACCCCCAAUUUUUCUAUGGUUGACCUCGGAUCAGGUAGGGAUACCCGCUGAACUUAAGCAUAUCAAUAAGCGGA